rnacentral:rRNA from 1 species
UACGUAGGGUGCAAGCGUUGUCCGGAAUUAUUGGGCGUAAAGAGCUCGUAGGCGGCUUGUCACGUCUGCUGUGAAAACUCGGGGCUCAACCCCCGAGCCUGCAGUGGAUACGGGCUAGCUAGAGUGCGGUAGGGGAGACUGGAAUUCCUGGUGUAGCGGUGAAAUGCGCAGAUAUCAGGAGGAACACCGGUGGCGAAGGCGGGUCUCUGGACCGAUACUGACGCUGAGGAGCGAAAGCGUGGGGAGCGAACAGG